UUUGGACCGAUGAUAGCCCGCGGAUAGGUGUGGAAACCCAUCUAUAUUGCACCCAGUAUGACACAGAAAAAAAGCCCAGGGCCUAGGGGUCGGGUGGGGCUCGUUCGGGGUGCACAACGGUUGCGCCAAAAACGGUCCAAAAAUGGCCAAGGCUUUACCAUACGAAAAAUCGGCCGAUUUUUAACCAUGUGAGAAACGUCCCGAAAAUUCACAGAUAACUACUAGGAGGCCUCACUCUGAGUAAUAUCAAAGUUUUUUCCCACAAAACCGCUCGGAGAUGCCCAACUCAGUUUUUAUUUUCGUCCCAAUACUUUUCUUCCAAUGGACUAGUUGUGUUUCUUUGAUCUUGUGCAACCUAUUUAGGCCGAUGAUAGCCGCGGAUAGGGUGGAAACCCAUCUAUAUUGCACCCAGUACGACACAGAAAAAAAGCCCAGGGCCUAGGGGUCGGGUGGGGCUCGUUCGGGGUGCACAACGGUUGCGCCAAAAACGGUCCAAAAAUGGCCAAGGCUUUACCAUACGAAAAAUCGGCCGAUUUUUAACCAUGUGAGAAACGUCCCGAAAAUUCACAGAUAACUACUAGGAGGCCUCACUCUGAGUAAUAUCAAAGUUUUUUCCCACAAGAACCGCUCGGAGAUGCCCGGACUCAGUUUUUAUUUUCGUCCCAAUACUUUUCUUCCAAUGGACUAGUUGUGUUUCUUUGAUCUUGUGCAACCUCUUUAGGCCGAUGAUAGCCCGCGGAUAGGUGUGGAAACCCAUCUAUAUUGCACCCAGUACGACACAGAAAAAAAGCCCAGGGCCUAGGGGUCGGGUGGGGCUCGUUCGGGGUGCACAACGGUUGCGCCAAAAACGGUCCAAAAAUGGCCAAGGCUUUACCAUACGAAAAAUCGGCCGAUUUUUAACCAUGUGAGAAACGUCCCGAAAAUUCACAGAUAACUACUAGGAGGCCUCACUCUGAGUAAUAUCAAAGUUUUUUCCCACAAGAACCGCUCGGAGAUGCCCGGACUCAGUUUUUAUUUUCGUCCCAAUACUUUUCUUCCAAUGGACUAGUUGUGUUUCUUUGAUCUUGUGCAACCUCUUUAGGCCGAUGAUAGCCCGCGGAUAGGUGUGGAAACCCAUCUAUAUUGCACCCAGUACGACACAGAAAAAAAGCCCAGGGCCUAGGGGUCGGGUGGGGCUCGUUCGGGGUGCACAACGGUUGCGCCAAAAACGGUCCAAAAAUGGCCAAGGCUUUACCAUACGAAAAAUCGGCCGAUUUUUAACCAUGUGAGAAACGUCCCGAAAAUUCACAGAUAACUACUAGGAGGCCUCACUCUGAGUAAUAUCAAAGUUUUUUCCCACAAGAACCGCUCGGAGAUGCCCAGCUCAGUUUUUAUUUUCGUCCCAAUACUUUUCUUCCAUGGACUAGUUGUGUUUCUUUGAUCUUGUGCAACCUAUUUAGGCCGAUGAUAGCCCGCGGAUAGGUGUGGAAACCCAUCUAUAUUGCACCCAGUAUGACACAGAAAAAAAGCCCAGGGCCUAGGGGUCGGGUGGGGCUCGUUCGGGGUGCACAACGGUUGCGCCAAAAACGGUCCAAAAAUGGCCAAGGCUUUACCAUACGAAAAAUCGGCCGAUUUUUAACCAUGUGAGAAACGUCCCGAAAAUUCACAGAUAACUACUAGGAGGCCUCACUCUGAGUAAUAUCAAAGUUUUUCCCACAAGAACCGCUCGGAGAUGCCCGGACUCAGUUUUUAUUUUCGUCCCAAUACUUUUCUUCCAAUGGACUAGUUGUGUUUCUUUGAUCUUGUGCAACCUCUUUAGGCCGAUGAUAGCCCGCGGAUAGGUGUGGAAACCCAUCUAUAUUGCACCCAGUAUGACACAGAAAAAAAGCCCAGGGCCUAGGGGUCGGGUGGGGCUCGUUCGGGGUGCACAACGGUUGCGCCAAAAACGGUCCAAAAAUGGCCAAGGCUUUACCAUACCGAAAAUCGGCCGAUUUUUAACCAUGUGAGAAACGUCCCGAAAAUUCACAGAUAACUACUAGGAGGCCUCACUCUGAGUAAUAUCAAAGUUUUCUCCCACAAGAACCGCUCGGAGAUGCCCGACUCAGUUUUUAUUUUCGUCCCAAUACUUUUCUUCCCAUGGACUAGUUGUGUUUCUUUGAUCUUGUGCAACCUAUUUAGGCCGAUGAUAGCCCGCGGAUAGGUGUGGAAACCCAUCUAUAUUGCACCCAGUAUGACACAGAAAAAAAGCCCAGGGCCUAGGGGUCGGGUGGGGCUCGUUCGGGGUGCACAACGGUUGCGCCAAAAACGGUCCAAAAAUGGCCAAGGCUUUACCAUACGAAAAAUCGGCCGAUUUUUAACCAUGUGAGAAACGUCCCGAAAAUUCACAGAUAACUACUAGGAGGCCUCACUCUGAGUAAUAUCAAAGUUUUUUCCCACAAGAACCGCUCGGAGAUGCCCGGACUCAGUUUUUAUUUUCGUCCCAAUACUUUUCUUCCAAUGGACUAGUUGUGUUUCUUUGAUCUUGUGCAACCUCUUUAGGCCGAUGAUAGCCCGCGGAUAGGUGUGGAAACCCAUCUAUAUUGCACCCAGUAUGACACAGAAAAAAGCCCAGGGCCUAGGGGUCGGGUGGGGCUCGUUCGGGGUGCACAACGGUUGCGCCAAAAACGGUCCAAAAAUGGCCAAGGCUUUACCAUACCGAAAAUCGGCCGAUUUUUAACCAUGUGAGAAACGUCCCGAAAAUUCACAGAUAACUACUAGGAGGCCUCACUCUGAGUAAUAUUAAAGUUUUUUCCCACAAGAACCGCUCGGAGAUGCCCAGACUCAGUUUUUAUUUUCGUCCCAAUGCUUUUCUUCCCAUGGACUAGUUUUGUUUCUUUGAUCUUGUGCAACCUAUUUAGGCCGAUGAUAGCCCGCGGAUAGGUGUGGAAACCCAUCUAUAUUGCACCCAGUAUGACACAGAAAAAAAGCCCAGGGCCUAGGGGUCGGGUGGGGCUCGUUCGGGGUGCACAACGGUUGCGCCAAAAACGGUCCAAAAAUGGCCAAGGCUUUACCAUACCGAAAAUCGGCCGAUUUUUAACCAUGUGAGAAACGUCCCGAAAAUUCACAGAUAACUACUAGGAGGCCUCACUCUGAGUAAUAUUAAAGUUUUCUCCCACAAGAACCGCUCGGAGAUGCCCAGACUCAGUUUUUAUUUUCGUCCCAAUACUUUUCUUCCCAUGGACUAGUUGUGUUUCUUUGAUCUUGUGCAACCUAUUUAGGCCGAUGAUAGCCCGCGGAUAGGUGUGGAAACCCAUCUAUAUUGCACCCAGUAUGACACAGAAAAAAAGCCCAGGGCCUAGGGGUCGGGUGGGGCUCGUUCGGGGUGCACAACGGUUGCGCCAAAAACGGUCCAAAAAUGGCCAAGGCUUUACCAUACGAAAAAUCGGCCGAUUUUUAACCAUGUGAGAAACGUCCCGAAAAUUCACAGAUAACUACUAGGAGGCCUCACUCUGAGUAAUAUCAAAGUUUUUCCCACAAGAACCGCUCGGAGAUGCCCGGACUCAGUUUUUAUUUUCGUCCCAAUACUUUUCUUCCAAUGGACUAGUUGUGUUUCUUUGAUCUUGUGCAACCUAUUUAGGCCGAUGAUAGCCCGCGGAUAGGUGUGGAAACCCAUCUAUAUUGCACCCAGUAUGACACAGAAAAAAAGCCCAGGGCCUAGGGGUCGGGUGGGGCUCGUUCGGGGUGCACAACGGUUGCGCCAAAAACGGUCCAAAAAUGGCCAAGGCUUUACCAUACCGAAAAUCGGCCGAUUUUUAACCAUGUGAGAAACGUCCCGAAAAUUCACAGAUAACUACUAGGAGGCCUCACUCUGAGUAAUAUUAAAGUUUUCUCCCACAAGAACCGCUCGGAGAUGCCCAGACUCAGUUUUUAUUUUCGUCCCAAUGCUUUUCUUCCCAUGGACUAGUUUUGUUUCUUUGAUCUUGUGCAACCUAUUUAGGCCGAUGAUAGCCCGCGGAUAGGUGUGGAAACCCAUCUAUAUUGCACCCAGUAUGACACAGAAAAAAGCCCAGGGCCUAGGGGUCGGGUGGGGCUCGUUCGGGGUGCACAACGGUUGCGCCAAAAACGGUCCAAAAAUGGCCAAGGCUUUACCAUACCGAAAAUCGGCCGAUUUUUAACCAUGUGAGAAACGUCCCGAAAAUUCACAGAUAACUACUAGGAGGCCUCACUCUGAGUAAUAUCAAAGUUUUUCCCACAAGAA
rnacentral:lncRNA from 1 species